GGUUUUUUUUCUGGCUUGUCGCGCGGAGCCUGGGCUUAUCCUGGGUUCCCGCUCGCAGCGGUUAACAAAUAAACGCGUUGACUUUUCGUUUAAAAGUCUCAGCCUUGUUUACAACAAUUCUGGGGCCUCAUCCGGGAUAAGCCACGCCCCCUGGGCGGUCCCGAGGGAGGACAGGUCCCGGGAAGACGUCUCUGGCCGAUUUUUGCCACCCGGAGUUUGGAUUUCUUCGAGACCGUUGACGGCAGCUGGCUUUCCCGAGUAACGGCUGAGAGCACGACAACCCAGAAGGGAGAGGGCCCUCCGAGAGGGAGCGGGGCUCGCAGAUCCGAAGAACUCUGAAGGAAUAGAGCAUCCUCCCAUGCACCUAGUAAUCAGACCCUAAAAGGAAGAAAAAUAAGUUGAC